rnacentral:rRNA from 1 species
UGAAUACGAGACGCUAAGGCGUCGAAGUAGUGUAUGUCAUACUUCCAAGAAAAGCUUGCACUGUCAUAGAUAAAAAACGCCUGUACCAUAACCGACACAGGUGGGUAGGUAGAGUAUACUAAGGGGCGCGAGAUAACUCUCUCUAAGGAACUCGGCAAAAUAACUCCGUAACUUCGGGAGAAGGAGUGCCUUAUUCGUAAGGUUGCAAUAACAAGAUCCAAGCAACUGUUUAUCAAAAACACAGGUCUCCGCUAAGUCGUAAGACGAUGUAUGGGGGCUGACGCCUGCCCAGUGCCAGAAGGUUAAAGAAGUUGGUUAGCAAUUGCGAAGCUGAUAACUGAAGCCCUGGUGAACGGCGGCCGUAACGAUAACGGUCCUAAGGUAGCGAAAUUCCUUGUCGGGUAAGUUCCGACCCGCACGAAAGGCGUAAUGAUUUGGAUACUGUCUCGGAGAGGGGCUCGGUGAAAUAGACUUGUCUGUGAAGAUGCGGACUACCUGCACCAGGACAGAAAGACCCUAUGAAGCUUUACUGUAACUUGAAAUUGAAAUUGGACUUUAUUCGCGCAGUAUAGGUGGGAGGCGUUGAUUAUAAUCUUGUGGGAUUAUUGGAGCCAUCAGUGAGAUACCACUCUUGUAAUGUUAGAUUUCUAACUUUGAAUCAUUAUCUGGUCAAAGAACAGUUUCAGGCGGGCAGUUUGACUGGGGCGGUCGCCUCCUAAACGGUAACGGAGGCGUACAAAGGUUUCCUCUGAACGGUUAGAAAUCGUAUCUAGAGUGUAAAGGCAUAAGGAAGCUUGACUGUGAGACCUACAAGUCGAGCAGGGACGAAAGUCGGUCUUAGUGAUCUGACGGUACUGAGUGGAAAGGCCGUCACUCAACGGAUAAAAGUUACUCUAGGAUAACAGGCUGAUCUCCCCCAAGAGUUCACAUCGACGGGGAGGUUUGGCACCUCGAUGUCGGCUCAUCGCAUCCUGGGGCGGUAGUACGUCCCAAGGGUUGGGCUGUUCGCCCAUGAAAGCGGUACGCGAGCUGGGUUCAGAACGUCGUGAGACAGUUCGGUCCAUAUCCGGUGUAGGCGUUAGAAUAUUGAGAGGAGCCUUCUUUAGUACGAGAGGACCGAGAAGGACAUACCUCUGGUGUACUAGUUAUCGUGCCAACGGUAAACGCUGGGUAGCUAUGUAUGGAGUGGAUAACCGCUGAAAGCAUCUAAGUGGGAAGCCCACCUCAAGAUAAGUAUUCUCA